AGCCGUAUAUUAUCUGUCUUACAGUUCUGCUCCAAAUGUGAGAGGCUAGUGCCGAAAGGUCAGUGAACUACUUUCAACGAAACAGCAAAUCAUUAUGAAACCAAGGCUGCUGCCGCUGCAUAUGGUACCACGGAAAAUCAGAUCCGGAAAUAAUUCAAUAACCUGUUCAUUCGGGGGCGUGGGGCACAGGAAGAUUUAUAUCAAAGUUUAAGACAAGGUCCAAGAUUAUCCAGCUUACACAAGUGGAACCAGGCCCGGAUUGACAAAACACAAAAUCUUGGUGUUUGCAUUAGCGCAGCAGUUUCUUCAACAGGAGCAUGUUCUAAUGAAGCCCAGUGAUAGGCCGACAGCCACUAAACCCUGCUCAUUGUGGUUUUCCUUGUUUUCACUUUGCUCCUUUUGCCUUCUAGGAGACAGAGGGAAGAUUUAAUACUGGUUCUUUUCCAU